ensembl:lncRNA
CACACACACACACACACACACACACACACACACACACACACACACACACACACACGGUCGAGUCUCAUUGGCGGGCCAACGUCUCUGGGCGGGCCAGGCAGAGUAAGGGGAGGAGCUGAGAUUCUUGGUGACGUCAUGAAUACAGACAUUCCAAAUCAGCGCACUUGAGCCUCUGUUUUUUCAAAGGCGAGCAGAACAGCUAGUGCUCGUUUUACACCAAACGCAAGUUUUAGCCAUUGGGGGACCAUAGGCAGGCUAGGGGAACUCAUAUUUAUGUUAGAAAACCUCAUAAAGUGAGAUUUUCAUGUUAUGGGACCUUUAAAUAAACAUAAUAGGGGGUCAGAUGUUUUACAAUAAUUUUGAUCUUACAGAGUCAUGACAGAGGGACUUGGUGUCUUUAUUAAUGCUUGAAAGAUGAACAUAUAUUAUUUUUUUUGAAAGGGAAUAAGAUGAUGAAGCUGACAAGUGACCAAUGUUUACUGUUUAAAAAUAUUUUAAAUUAAAUGCAAACCCCAGUGAAUCAUUUUCUCUUGUUUCUCUGUUUUGAGAUUCACACAGACUUAGCAGUCUUGUUUAAAUGUUACAAAUUGAGUUAAUACAUUGAAGUUGGAAAUAGUUUUAAGUAGUUUCAGACGUUAUCUCCGCUAAUUUUAUUAAUCUAAAUAAAUAUUAGCAGGUUCUCAAUAGUAGACAAUUUCAAAUCAGGGAGGGCGCCUAGGGGGGGAAUGACAGAAAAUGAUUGAGAAUCACUGUUCUAGAACAUGUUGUAGGCCUACUUGUUGAUUAGCUCACGUUUUUAUGGCAAUGAAAACGCCCUCAGCUGAUAAAAUAAUGCCAUCUUUUGGUUUUUUACUGAAAAUUAGCACCCUUUUUUUUGCAUCAGACCAACAAGAUUUUUUUGCAUCAGAAGAUUUAUAAAAAUGUAUUGGUCCUUGAAAGUGAGACAACAUAGUUUAGUGCUCCCGAAAUAGUGGUCUGUUAAUCAGUAGCCUAAUACUAUGUCGCGCCUGUGUGCGUCCAUCUGUUUAAACACAUGCAAACUAAACACGUAACGCAUAAUACAGUCCAUGGCAAUUAACGGGGGGACACAUGCAUAAUAUCAUUUGUUAUAUCGUAUACGUUUUCUUUGUUUCUCAGUAUUUCUGAAGUUGUGGAAGAAAACCUUAUUCCAUGUGUGAAUUAGGCCAUAUUAUUUGGCCACAAACUGAGCCAUUUACAGUUUUAAAUUCAUGUGCAUCUGCCUCAUCGGAGACUGCAGAACCGCUGUCAAAAUAUCAACUCGUCAGAUUCAAAUGCGCUCAUGGCUCUUAAAGGGGAUGGGAGCUGGCACUCUCAUUGUUUUGUUGCACGUUGUGCCCAAACCACAUCUACGGGUAAUUAGGCUACUUCAGACCAGCCCUUUUUAGAUUUGCCCUGGGCGUGAGAGUCAUUUUUCGCGCCGGUAAACUAGCGACAUCGCCGUAGAACCGCCCACAAAGCUACUUGAGCUUGGCGCUUCUGGCGUUUCAGACCGUUAAAAUAGGGCCCUUAGUGUUACAUUAGAGUUGAGUGCAACCAAUCAGUGAGCUGGACCUGUACACCUAUUUAAAGGUUGGUCACAUGGAGUCUAGAAGAUGCAGUCAAGAGAAGUCAAGAAUAGAGGUCCUGAUAGAAUAAAUGGGAAAAUUCUUAUACCAAGCAUUUUGGGAAGAUUAUGGAUGGAUAGUGCGGUGCCUGAAUUUAAAAAACGUAUAGAAAAUGUAUUGUUUUGGUGUCUUAAAAUAAAACUAAGGAAAAUAAAAUGAUUGUUACAUUGUUAAAUAAUAAAUAAUAAAUUAGUUAAAUUUAACAUACACUAAUCAAAAUCAGGUUUAGAAAUUGCCGUAUACAUUCAACAGCACCAUUACUGAUUCUUAUAAACAAAAAAGUAAUUCAGUACAGUGAAUAUUUGCAGUUUAUAAUUUGUAUUAUUAAUUACUAAUUAUUAUUUUAAACAUGAAAGGUGUCCAAGGACACUUUAUACGUGAUGUAUCCUGUCCAAAUAGGAUAUGAAUACUUUCACAUUAAAGAGAAAAAAUUAAAAAUGUAUAAAACUGGAAUUGAACUGAACUUUGGUACAAAUUAGUAUCAUUAAUAUCAGUGAAUAUUACAAUAAGACACUCAAGUUAUUUAACAUCUAGUUAUUCCGCCAGCUAUGGGAUCACUGAGGUCAGACUUAGGGAUGUAUUUUAGUGCUAAAAAGUCAAUAGGAAUCCAAGUACAAAUGUAGAACAAAUUAUCUUUUCUUAUUUUUAGUGACGAGAGAUGUGGAUAAUCGGUGCUGGUGAUAAAUAACCUAUUUCUCAUGAAUACAGCAGUUGGCCGCACAGAUCAGAGCACUCCAAUUCCAAAGAUCUGGAUCUACAUCUCAACUGGGCUGGGAGUACUGGUCCUGGUACUGGUUUUGGUUUUCGUCUGUGGUUUUCGUAGGAGAAAUGCAGGUGGGACAUGUUAUCCGGAAAAUUGGAAGAAAACAUAAAUAAAUGGGAAAAUAAAGAUAUGUUUAAUUAAGUUUGAUUUGGUUAUUUGAUCCUCUUGUCAAUAUUAUAAUCUGUUCAUGUUUAUUAGGGUCUCUUUCUCAGUGCAAGAGGGUGUCGUUAAAUUGGAAAACACAUACAGACGAAAGGGAAACCUUCGAAAGUGCCCCUUGAAUUUAACAGAUUUUAGGGAUAUUUCUAUAUAUUUAAAUUAUUUUAAGGCUAAUUUAUUCAAUUCGUGCUUAUAUUUUAGACUUGCUACUAACCAUGUAUGUCCAAACGGAUAAAAAUGUUGUACUCUAUUCUGCAGCACCAGAAGUUAUGGACACCGUGUACGACAGCAUUGAAAAUGUUGAACGGAAAGCGACCACGUCAAAGGAUGAGCUGAGUCUGGGACCACUCUAUGAACUGAUCCAAAACGUUGAAGCUAAGCCCCCACAGCAGGAGAGCAAUGGAAACACCAUCUAUUACACUGUUCAGCAAAGCCGCCUUAUGGACCCUCCCUCCUAACAAGAAGACCCCCAGAGCUGCUGCUGGCUCAAGGUGGUUCCUGGAGAAGAAGACGUCCAAAUAUACAAACCCAAAUGAGAUUGCAGCAUCCUAAAACCAAAUGCUUAAGAUUUGUUUGUUGGUCAUCUGUGUGUGUGUACUGUUUAAAAAAGUCUUUUCUAACUAUUCUCUAGUGUCUAUAUACAGAUUGUUGAUAAGAUUAGCAUUUGGGAAAUAUCACCCACAAAUAAAAUUUGGGAGCAUUCAAACUAUCAAAUAUACCUGCUGACAAACAUGCUUAAAUUGCCUAAAUGCGUCAGCAUUUCAAGCAUCAAGUUGACUUUAUACAACUUUAUUCAUGACAUUGCCUGUUUCUCCCAGAUUCAGACUUGGUUUAAUUCCAAAUUCAUCAUCUUCUGUGCAUAAUGUGGCGUUAGCAUCUUUCAUUGACUUGCAGAGAUACAGUAGCCUAGCUCCUCUUCAUGUGAGGGAAAAUGGCUUAAAUCGAAUGCCUCCCGCACACUCCCAUUCUGGAUACACAGUGAAGAAUUUGGAAUUAUGCAACAUGUCUGAAUCUGGGUAAAGGCAAAGGCCCACCCACUUACAGAUAUCUCUGUAUGCCUUUAAGCUUGUUGAACCAUUUGCAGCCAAAUGGAAGUUGCUGGAAUAAAUUGUGAGAUAAGAAACAAAUAUUUUUUAACAUUAGGUUUCAAAGAGAUGAAAAAAAGAUCCAUGAUAUAAAGGUCACACAAAUCCACACUAUUUUGAAAAUGUAAUCAAAUCAAGAACCCGUCUCGGCCAACCAAAACCCAGGAUCUCUGACCAGCUCGUCCACUUGACCGGCCUCCUUUACCUGAAAAACAAAGAAAAAGGGAUGUGUCAUUUAGAACACACCGCUAACCGCUAGGCUGAUGUCACCAUCAUACCUGUUUGGACACCCUCUGAUGUCAAUAAAUGACUUGUAAGAGUUUAUCAAUAAAUCUUCAGCCUCUCGCACCAGUCUCUGGUAAGCCUGCUCCCAAGUUCAAGUGCAAAGUUCACACUGAACUUUGCACUUGAACUUGUAACUAGCUAGUUUGAAACCUCUGAAUUUAAGAUGCAUCAUAACUAGCUCAACAUAAAUGAUGACGUCUCUUUUAGUGACGUUAACAUCGUUAUCUCGACUAGUCUAUAUAGAACGAUAUCAAGGCAAAGAAAAAAGCGCAACUGUCGUCAGCGCUUGCCGAUGGGACCCGGGAUUGUUGCUCGUCACACGGACAGUUUAUCUGCAUGCAACCACAGCAUGCUCAAACUUGAUUGGUUAAGAUUAC